rnacentral:rRNA from 1 species
CAGUAGCCGCGGUAAUACGUAGGGUGCAAGCGUUAAUCGGAAUUACUGGGCGUAAAGCGCGCGUAGGUGGUUUGUUAAGUUGGAUGUGAAAUCCCCGGGCUCAACCUGGGAACUGCAUCCAAAACUGGCAAGCUAGAGUAUGGUAGAGGGUGGUGGAAUUUCCUGUGUAGCGGUGAAAUGCGUAGAUAUAGGAAGGAACACCAGUGGCGAAGGCGACCACCUGGACUGAUACUGACACUGAGGUGCGAAAGCGUGGGGAGCAAACAGGAUUAGAGACCCCUGUAGUCCCUGUCUCUUAUAA